rnacentral:piRNA from 1 species
UCCAACAACCUGAGCAACCUCUUCCUGCU